UGCUGUUUUUAAAUUUAACAGGAGUGGGAGAGCCUGCGACAUGUUUGUCGGUGGUGAUUCCGUUUGCAAUCAGAGAAGCUAUCGCCCACGCCAGACAAGAGUCCGGUAUCCCCACCACUGAGUGGUUCGAUAUUGCUGGUCCUUGCUCCAUCGAGAACAUUUGCUUGGCCAUCAAGAACAACACUGAAGAUUUCAGAUUCAAUUAAGUGCUGAGAUUCAACGGCUAUACUUUACCUCAUCACACGUUUUUGUGACCUUAAAUGACAACUGGCUGGCUUUCCAAUGGUACUGUGUUUUACUAUGAUAACUGCGUCGCGAUCUUUUCUUGUUUCACCAAAAUCAUUUGACACUUGUUUUCGUCUUAUAGGUUUUUGUUACAUUGGUGUUUUUGAAUCGAUCGAUGGAUUUAUCGCUAUAUUGAUAUUAUAACGAUCUUGUUUUUCGAUAUCAAUAUUAAGGUAUUAUUCAAGAUUUUCUUUUUCUAAAAUCAUUGAUUUCAUUCACAUCAAUAUUAGGGGCAUCACUUAGUUUUUUUUAUAAAAACCGAUUUGAUUCCCAAAAGUAUUUGUAUCGCGUCGUAAUUAUUGCCUAUUUUUACUUGUAGAUA